GAGCUGUGGGUUCGGCUGACUUGACAAUGGGCCGGGGGAAAUCCCAAGAUGGCUAUUAAUAUGCCCUCCUGUAAUUUGUAACAUUAACAUUGCUGAAGGUACGGAAAAGGACAUUGAAAUAAAGACGUCAGAACUGCUGACUUAGUUCGGUGAACUUGAGUGCAGAAGCCCUCUCUGGAGAAAUAGCAAGUGUGGAAAUUAAAAUGAGAUCUUGCCGUACUUUGCAUCAAGAGAAGAGAGGAAGAAAGAAAGAAAGAAAGGAAGAAAGAAAGAAAGGAAGGAAGGAAGGAAGGAAGGAAGGAAGGAAGGAAGGAUGUUUGACUAAAGAGAAAGUUCCCAAGAAGCUGGCAGAAAGCGAGAACCUGUGAAUGAAGCUUCCAAAGUGGGUCUCAGACUGCACUAGCCAAAAAUAAACCGGUUCCUGGCUGAACGACGAUGUCAGUUUUACUCAAACCAGUGGAGCGCUUUGCUCUCCAAGAGGCUUUGAUGAUCUUAAAUUUCUUUGAAGAGCGGACAACCUUAACCUGGAGGACGGACAGCAAACUUCCAGUGCUUUCUGCGCAUGGAGAUGAGAUUAUUAGACAGAUGCAGAUCAAAAGAAUUCCCAAGGUGUUCGGCUGUAGCACAGAGAGAGACUUUGGGAUUGGAGGUGUGAAGGCUGUGAGGAUGAUGUGAGGUGGUCUGUGAAGUGAUGGGUAAAUGCAGGAAGCCCAGCCUGGUGCUGGCAGUGACUGCAUCUACCUGGUAUGGGAGCAAAUCCAACAUUAGAGUUUUAAGUGAGCUCGAUUUGAGAGGAGGAGAGUUCAACGACCGUUUAGAUAAAGCAUUCACUAAGAAGAAAUGACUGGAAACAGAGGUGGUUUUUGCAUAAGACCAGAUGGACUCAGAUCAGGAAAGCUUGUGACUGGCUUAUACGGCUGCCAGGCUAUUUCUCUGGGGCAGAAGCUGAGAAGAGCCCUGGAGUCAUUAGAUCCUGGCAAGAAAAGAAUAAUCUCUGGAAUGGUGGCUAUUUUCUAUGACUAUACCUGGUUAGUUCUAACCAGGAAUGCUGGUUAGUUAGUCUAUUACUUUACUCUGAUAACUAGCUUUGAAAUUUUAAACUCUGCAAACUGAUUAUGACAUCACAUGCCUGGAAUCCCAGCACCUAAGAGGGAGGCUGGUACCUGAGGACCUGGGUUUAAGGUUGUCCAUAGCUACGUGACUAGUUGGAAACCAGCCUGGGCUACACAAAGCACUGUCUCAGAAUAAGGAAAAAAAGAAAACGAGCCAUCAACUGUCAAUAGCUGCUUGGUUAGGGGCCAGCACUUCUGGACCUCUGGCUGCGGCCUGGGACACAGAGGUGUCUUUUUUUAAUCUCAUUUUUUUUAAAGUGCGCAUUUAGAGCUACAUUUAGAGGGUCUUGCUUCAGCUACUGUCAAGGAGGCUUGUUAGGAAGUGAGUAAAUGUAAUAAAAAUGCAACUGCACUAAGUGUGUGUCAGCUAAUUUGCAUGUCUGUGGGUCCAAGUGUGGUGCUUGUAGGGAAACAGCUGUCUGCUCUCUGUUCACAUAAGUAUGAAGAUGAGGUGCUUAGAAAGGUGAAUCUCCAUCAAAAAGAGCAAACCAGCGCUGGAAGGAGUUUCAGCAUCAGCCUAUGACUGUGCCAGGCACACAGCAUUUACGUCAACACAGAAAGAGAAUCUGCUUAGUUAUAUGAGUUUCCAAAACCAGAUCUGAUGGACUAGAGAGAUGGCUCAGCCACUAAGAGAGAUGACUGCCCUAGCAGAAGACCAGAGAUAUCUCUGUUUUCAGCACCCAUGUUGGACAUCUUAGAACCAUCUCUAAAUCCGGCUCUAGGUGAUCCAAUGUCUUCUUCCCAGACUCCAAGGGCACCUGUACUCAAGUGCACAAACCCACAUUUUAAAAAAAAAUAUGUAU
rnacentral:lncRNA from 1 species